rnacentral:lncRNA from 1 species
CAGGCUGUUAGAUAUAUGGUGUAUGCGGGCAGUAUUGUAUGCCUUAUAGUUCGUCUAUCCAUUUGCUGCUUCUAUAUGUACGCACGUAGCCUACUCAUUUACUGCUUCUACAUGUAUGCACGUAGACUUUACUGCUGUGUUAUAAUGCUGUGACAAUAUACUGCUGGACAUUGUGAUACUUCUACCUCAUGGUUAUUGGGUUCCUGAUCUAUGUCAGGAGAGUCUGUUAGGACUUGCGAAAUAUCAUAUCUCUAUAGCUCUGAUCCACUCACAC